UGAGUCUUUUGGUUGGGAGCAAAGACGUAAAUAUAUUGCGGACAGAGUAAAGAAGACACAAAAAAUAAGAACACGAGUGAAUAGCAGCUUCGAAGAAGAUAGACGGAAAUAUUCUUAUAAUUACCAUUUGCAGAUUCUUCAGCACACGAGUACAGGUUUAUUUCCACAAGUCGAGCUCAGCUUCUUAUGUUAAACAAUUACACAUUUUCGGAAAGAGGAAAGAAAUCUGGAAGGUUUCAUUGUUCCAAAAAAGAUGCUGGUUGCAAGGCAAACUUGAAAUUGGAUCAAUAUGGGAACAUUAAACGGAUAGCUAACAUUCACAACCACGACCCACCAAAAUUCAUUGUAUCUCAAAAUGGGCAUUAUAUUCCAGUAUAAUAACCAUAGUUAUAGGAUUUGUGUUCAUAUUUAUGUAAAGGAGUAGUUCCAGUAGGUACAUACCUACUUCCCGCUUAUUUAAUACAAUCAACAAAAAAAAACAAUUUUUAAUCUUGAGAUACCGCUGCCGCUGGAAGGACGAAGUCGCCAAAGACCUGAAAGAGCUGGAAGUGUCCGACUGGUCAGAAUUGGCACAGAAUAGAGAAGAUGGGCGCACUUUAAUGUCGGAGGCCAAGAUCCACUUCGGGUCGCUGAGCCAGCGGAGUAAGUAAGUAAGUUUAAUCUUGCAGAUCACCCAGAGUAUAAGUUUAUUUGUACUACCCAAUCUCGCCUUCUUAUAAUGAAUGGUUAUAGUUUUUCGUUACGAAAUAAAAAUAAGAGAAAAUUCUUUUGUUCCAAGAAAAGUAACGGAUGCAAGGCAAAUGUGGCGCUCUACAAACUAGGGAACACUAGACGGUUUACUGACACUCAUAAUCAUGAUCCACCUAAAUUCAUUUUAACUAACGACGGGAACUAUGUACGUGUUUAAUAAUUAUGUACUGUUAUAAAUGUCUAUGCCAAUAAAUGCUUUCGUUUUAAC